AUGUACGGCCAUAUUACGUUGAAUGCACCAUUUUUGUCCGAUCACCGAAGUUAAGGAAAGCCGGGCCUAGUGAGUACUUACAUGAGUGACCGCUUGGGAAAUCUAGGUGCUGUAAGCA
rnacentral:rRNA from 1 species